CCUGGUUUGCCCUCCAUCUGGACCACCCUCCGUCCCUCCCUGUCCUGGGCGUCGUCGCCCCGACACACACACACAGCAGACAGAAGACAACGCCACCAAAUCCUCCUUCCUAGAUAUGUAACGAACCGAAUCACAUCAUCCGGCCCCCCAUUCCACGCACCACCUCCACGAAGACCAACAUCUCCCAGUAGUCACCAGUCAACAUUUCCCUUCCCUCCCCCCACCAUCAUCACACUCGUAAAGCCUCCUCAUUUCCUCUCCCCGGCCUUUCCUCGCUUCGCUCCAAAUCAGCUCAACGUCCUGAACCCAACGCCCUCUCUCUCUCUCUCUCUCUCUCUCUCUAUCCCUCUCCCUGUGAGAGUCUCUCUCUCUCUCAUCCGAGCUCUCCACUCUUCCGUCCCACUUUUUUCCAAUCCCGCAGCGGCGACGAUGGCACCAACCGGAAAAGGUAAUGGCAAGCAAGGAAUGCGAAGUCCGGCGUGGGUGCUGAACAGAUACCUCACUGCGACACCACCGCUGUUUACCCGAUUCACCCAGCUCUACUACACUUCGACCCACCUCUGCGAAGCUCCUGUUUUACCGUCGGUUGGUACCACCUCCGCCCCCUGCCUGCCUGCCUGACUUGGUAGGUAGCAGUGGUCGCCGUGCAAAUCAAUUCAGUGUCUGUCUGGCUCGAGAAAUGUACCCGCCCCAAAUUGAGGCAGCAUCAAGUGUGAAUGAGUGCGUCUUGCUGCGCAUGGCCUAUUUCUUUCCAGAUUGUCCAUUGCCCUGCUAUCACCACUCUAGAUUUUUGCCCUUGUUGGGUCUCAUCAUGACGUCAAAUUUACUGUGAUGGAAACGCGGGACCCUGUUCCAAUGUCCCCUUCCUCCUGUUUUCAGGGCAUUGCCAUUGUCUUCGCUAUAGCGUGGCUGUUUCUUUACAGAUCUAGUCGAUUCUUAACUUGUGAGCUUGUUAAUCCACUCUGCCAUGGCCUGCAUGACUUCUGCUGCCACCGUAAUGUUGCUCUUCUGUUGCAGUUUAAAGUAUCGUUGUACUCAACCGUGAUUGAAUGCGUAGACCUUGAUUCAGUAGAUCUCCAGUGACUGUCCUUUCUCCUGCUUUCACCCUUUUUUUACUUUUUCCUUUUCCCCCCCCCCCUAUUUCAUGGUUUUAUGUUUCGCCUUCUCUUUCCAGUUAACCUGCGUGUUGGGCCCCCCCUACAUUUCCUUCCAUGAUUGCGUCAGUUGAGUAGUUUGAACUCAGAAGCCGCUCUCGGAGUACGUAGGGAAAUGACUAUUUUAUCCGUACAGGGCAUUUGGUAAUAAGAAUAUACGAUGCCGUCAAUUUCCAGCAUAUCCAACCAGGGGAUGAAAUAACAGACCAGUGGCACACGCCUCUUAAAUAGGGGGAUCCAUUUUAGGGCAGCAGCAAAAUGAGAACCCGAAACCCCUAUAACAGACGGUGGAUAUUCCGUCGGUUCUCACAUUAGCGAGUGGAGAUACCUGAGGAUAGGCACCCCAAGUGGAUUUGGCUAGUCGAAUAGCGCCAUCUGUUGGUCAGAUCUGCGCCAACCAGAGUAUAAUAACAAUGUGCUGUGACCUCCUGCAUGCAAAUUAGAUUUCAAUCAGCAAUUCCGUUUGAAAUGAUGAGCAAUGACAUGCAAAUCUUGUGGACGACGGAAUAAUAACUAGUGGAUGAACAAUCUAGGACGUGAGCGCAUGAUGUCCUUUCACUUAUCAUUUUCCCUUUGCCAUUUCUCCUUCACUGUUUCGUCAUGAUAUUGGGCGUUCUGUCCAACAGAUGAAACUGGUGGGUGUCGCAGUUCUAGACACCCUAUUGGUGAUGACCUCAUGCUAUUGUAAGCAAAUGAGGUAAGGUGGUGAUGAAGCAACUGUACCUGGUGUUCUUCUCCUAAAUUUAGAUUUGUAGUAAAGUUAGCAUCGAUCUCAGACAGCAUCAUUAGGUUUGGUGUAAGAUUAGGGGCAAAGAUCAUGCCCUAAUCGACUUUUAAAAUGACCAAUGAACUACCGAACUUGAGUUUGGGCCCUGGAAGUACUUGCAGUAGUCAUUGGGAUACCCACUUGUCUAGACCAGCGGUGGCUGAUCCAGUUUAGGGCGAUUCAGCUUCUAUGUUCCAAUUUAGAUAACCUAUAUUUAAACAUUCUAUUGACAAAUCUAAAAUUGAUGCAUGGUAUACAAAUUGUAAUUUAUAAUAAGGCUAACAGAUAACAGUGGGGUUGACUUGUAACAACGCCAUUCAUCAGUUGCGAACACGUAUCCAUAUUUGGAAAGCCAAAUGCUGGAAUCUCGAUCCUCAAUGUUAGCUGUGGCAGGCGAUCAAUUCGUCGUACUAGUGAAGCGCAGUUUACUGUAUCUGGAAGCUCAUGGCAUUUUUUAUUUUAAUAAUCAUCAGUUUAGUCGAAUCCACUGAAAAGCUUUGAAUGAGCCGAAGAUCUGCUCGAGGAAUGUCAUGCCAGCUCAUCUCGUGCUCCAGUUUUGAGCCGCAUAUAUCGCGAUAACACCUGUAUUCAGGACCAUCAGCGUUUUCAGCAAUUCGCUGUUUUUUCCUCUGUUUGUAUCGAUCUCGGAUAAGAGUAUACACUGAAUCUGUUCAUUUUUGGGCAAUGAUUUGAACACACGAAUUUCCAGUCUCUUGAGCUGGGUUCUAUUUCUUUCCCUUCUCGUUCCAGUUUUUUCUUUGCUUUCGUUCCUCGGAAGAAGUGAAAGUUCCUCUCUUUUAACUUCACAGUAACGCCCCUCACGAAUAGUGUUCACAACAAUGUUGAGAAGUAAUAUUGGAAAUGGUACAUGGAUCUCAACGGUGAAGUUUGUGAGAAUACUACAUGGUGGAUUAGACUGAAGUAAUUUUUUCCUUUGAACCGCGCAUUUUUUUUGGGUGUGCGAGCAUUUGGAUGCAAUUGUAUAUGCGAAUCCUCUUUGUAUGAAAUUGAAGUUAUUAUUUCAUGUUUAAUUUUUCGUAUUUUGGAAAGAGAACAUAAAAAAUUAUUACGCACAUACAUUAUAGGUAAAUAUAUCUACAUACCUUGAGAAAAAAAUUAAUACCUUCCCUACACUCGCUUCAGAUUCAGCACAAUGCUUCUUCUAGUAAAAAUAAAUAAAAACGCCAAUAGAACAACGGUAAUAUUUACAACCCUAAUCUUUGACAACAUUUUAUAAUGCAUUUAAUAGUAGAUAUAAUAAAAAUAAAAACGUACCAAAAAAAAUACAAUGUACUACAAUGACGCAAGGCAUGGAUUAUUCAUGGGUUACUAAAAACUGUAUCACACUUUCAUUAUAUACAUAUUAUUCUCUAUGUACAGAAUUUUUAUCGUAUAUUUUUGAAAAGAAUUGGUGAAAUCAUAUUGUAUACACAUACACAGCCCUAAUUUUUUUAAAAUAUAUAUAUAUAUAUAUAUAUAUAUAUCAAAUACAAGUUGUACAAUGAGAAGAGAAUAAGGGGAGGGGAGGGGAGGAAGGCAAGAGAGAGAGGGUCGAUGGUGGGACCCGGGAAGCGGAUGAUGAGGCCGGGGGAUUGGGGGAGGGGGAGGGUGUCCAAAAGAGCGGAGUUCUAGGAUGUGCUACUGAGGGACAGCAGCACCAUGACAGGGAACCGGUACCAGAUCCAAGUACAACGUAUGGGGGAAGAAAAGGGGAACAAUAUAUAAAUAAAUAAAUAAAUAAAUAAAUAAGGAAAAAGGAAAAGGGAGAAAGAAAAAGAAGGAGAAGAAGUCGAAAUCGGCUGUUUCACUAACUCCAAGGCCCUUUCUCUUUCCCUUCACUCUCUCCCUCUCCCCGAGUUCCGAUGUGGAGGUGGGGGAGCAGAAUCUUUUCCUCUCCUUGUCCUUUAGCACAACCAAGAUCCCCUCUCCCAAACCCCAUCCUCCACGUGGCAUGCAAAUCUUUGUACCCCCACUAGUCACGCCAAUCGGAAGGUGGACCCACUCAGCGUCAAACUGAGAAUAAUAAUGCAUGGCAGCAGCAGCACUCCCAGAUCCUUCCCUCCUCCUUCCCCUCUCUCGACCCACCCAAUCGACCUGCCAACCUGGUACCCCCGCUCAGUCUCCCACUUGCUUUUCGACCCUCCCGUUUGCGCGUCUUUACCGCUAUUGGUGCCAAUCUGGUUAAAUAUCUCUCAUGGUAUUGCCGUCAGCUUCCCAGUCGAGAUCCGCUAAGCGAGUCCCCUGGUAUGUGCCUCUGUGCUGGAGGGUAUAUGCGGGUAUCAAUUCGUGGGUUCGUGUUCUAUCACCAGAGCAUCUGAGUGAGACGUUUGGUCAUUGAAAGAGGGAGACACGUUACGGCUUGGGGCAGAGGAGGGGCUGUCUGGCAAUGUUGUAAACUCUGUUUGAACAAAAAUCAAACAUUAGUUUUUUUAUUUAUUUAAAUAAACCACCAAAAGCGCAUCACAUGCAAUUCUAUUUGGAUAUUAAAACUAAUCUAUAGUAUCUGUGAUGAAUUUUUUUUUUUUUUUUUUUUUUUUUUUUUUUUUUAAGACCAUACUUUUUUGCAGAAAAAGCUAUUUCAUCCUAGCUUUAGUUGAUAUUUUCAGGAUCAACUGAAAUUCCAAAAUAAUAUUUUCUUUAAAAUAAUGAUUUUUUCCCUGUACAAGAAAUUAUGUAAAUUGCAUUAGCCCUUUGAUAACAUUUGACAGUGGAAUUAAUGGGAGAGAAAGUCAUCUCAUUGUUUUUUCUUUCUUUCUUUUCAACAGGGAUAGAACAUGUUACCUUCAUGGAAUGACAUGGUCAUGUUGUAAAUUUCUUUAAAUUGUAACCUUGAUAUGAUUUCUUUAUUCAAAUAAUAGAAAAUAUAUUAGAUCCCAUGUAUGCACAAAAACAGAAAGAUACCAAAGAUGAAUUAACUGGAACUUUAUGUCCCGAAUAACAAUGACUUUGCUUGAUAUUGUACUUUUGAAAUUAGGUUGUGUACUAGAGUACUACAUUUGUUUUGUUUUGUUUUUUUUAUUUUUUCUAAAAAAGAAUUGAACACUGUUGUAUCCCCUUUGUAAUGAUUCUCCAAAGACACAAAUACUUGUUUGUUUUGCUUAUAAAUUUAUUUAAUAACUGUAUAUGUAGUCACAAUUUAACUCAACAUUUCAAUAGAAAUAAAAGUAUCAAUUUGUAAAAACUUGGGUCUAUUUAACAUUCCCAGAGAUAUAUAUAUAUAUAUAUAUAUAUAUAUAUAUACAUACAUUGUUAUUGCUCAGCAGCUAUUCAGAGUUUGGUCAAGUGAUGUAGGAUACAGUGGAUGGUAUGGUGCAUUUAGCCAACACUAACUGCAAGUUGACUACAGAUCUCUGCUCACUGACAUGCACAAAAAGGAGUUAAAAUCUAGGGGUCACCUUCCAUAGUGAAACCUUUUCUGAAGAGUUAAAGUUAAAGUAAAUUCAAGUACAGAUAUGUAUUGCUUCUGAAGAGAUGUAUCCUGUAUGGAAUUUAUUGCUAGAAAUGAUCAUCUACGUAUACACUAUUUCACCUGGAAUUUUACAAUCAUGGAACACAAUAAUUCACAAAUAGUUAUAAUGCUUUCAGGGAAGGUAAAAAUAGAAAUAAAAAACAAAAACAAAAACAAACAAUCAAACAAACAAAGUAAUUUUUUUUUUUUUUUUUUUUUUUUUUUUUUUGUUACUGCGAAUUUAACUAUUUUACAUUGGGUACUCAUUUUAUUUUUUAUUUUUUUUAAUGAGUGAACACAUGAUUUAAUUUUGAUACCUAGAAUACAAAAAGUCUGUUUGUAGGAGAAAACCUACCAAACCAAACCAUUGUAGAAAUGCAUGUUUAAUUUUAUUUUUGAUGAUUAAUAUGUGUUUACACAUCACUGCAUGAUCUAUUGAAUUUAUACUAUUUAUAAGUAAGUGAUUUUAUUUUUCACCUAGAAUACAUUUUAAGAGGUCACAUAAUAGGAUAACAAAGUAAAUUGACAAUCAUUCUUUGUUUCCUUCAAAAACUUUAGCUUCAGAGUUUUUAAACAAUCAUGUCAGUUUGAUACAAAAAAUUCCACAAUUCUAGCUUUGAUUAAAUUCCAUGGAAUAAUCUUCAAGCUGGAAUAUGAUGCAGCAGCACCAAAGGCGUGAAUCUAUGUUCGUCUUUCAAUGCAUAAAUUAAACUCUGAGUCAAAGCAAGGCUCUUGUGUACAUCCAAACAAACCUGUUUGCACUGUUAUACCACACUUUCCUUUCCUUCAAGAUUGAAAUCUUUUUUUAGGAAUCAUUAUAUCCCUCAAGAAGCAUAAAUUUCAUUGCAUGAUUUUUAAAAUUUUAAAUGUAUGCAAAAUCGAACCAUGGUUCACAAUGAUAACAAACUUUAUAUAUACACAUUAAAUCUGUAGCGCCAUAGACAAGGGAGAAAAAAGGCACAACCCCUUUCUUUUGCAGUGAACCAUCUUGGUCAAGCAUAAGUGCAUGCAUGCUUUGCAUUAAGGAAUUUGUCAUAACAACCCACCAAUAUUGUUUCUAUCCACACAACUCCACAAGGAUGACAACAACACAUCCUCUUGUUCUUCAUCCCUAGAUUCAUGUGAUGUGUGGAGGUCUCAUGGAAGGGAGGGGGGGUUUUUAAGCUCUGUGGGAUACCCCUUUCUUAAGUUGGUGAUUGAAUGAAUGUCAACCCCCUUCCUUCUCACUAUCAGAGUGUGGUGAGGUGAUGUUUAUAAAAAGCAGCAGAAGGAACAGACAGAUAGACAGAUUAGGAGUAGAUUCAAGCACACUGCGGCUUCACUGAUACAAUGGGUCUUGUCUUCUUCUUCUUCUUCAUCUCCAGUUAUGGGUUUGGUACACAAUCUAUUGUGGUCUCAAAUGUGGCUCCUGUGGGCUGGCCAGGUUUAAAGCAAAGCUUUGGAUUGAGGCUGAAGGUUAGGGGAGGGCUUUCAGGAUGAUGGACAACUACUGCUGCUGUUGUACCCAGUUGGAGAUGCUGGGGCUCAGAGGGGCAAUGUGGCAAGCCUGGAACAAGGCAUGCAAGAUCCUGAAGAAGCCUCUGCCAGACUCUGCACCCACACCCACACUCACACCCUGCAGGAUGAUGAAGUAAAAGCAAGUUCUGUUUCAUUCCCUUCCUUCCACCCCAACCCAACCCAACCCCCUCUAGGCUUAUUUUUUCUGUGGUCAGCAAUCUUGGAGGAAUUCCAGAUUAACAUGUUGAGUACCAUGUACCUGGUACCCAGUUAUGUGCCUACUUCUCACUAUCAAAGCUUUUGAGAGUGUAUGUGUGUGUGUAUAUAUAUAUAUAUAUAUAUAUAUAUAUAUGUUGUGUCUUGUGCAACAUUAUAAUUUGUUUGAUUUAAACACAUAAUAAUAUAUACGUGAUUAUUUAAGAUAAUACCUCAUUCCAACUUCACAUGAACCUUAAUGCUUUGGAUUUUGAUACUGUUUUUAAUUUAUUAAUUUAUUAUAUUAAAUUUCAGAAGUUUGAUAUUUUUAUUCAUUUUAAUUUUGCUUGAAAUUCAACCACAGCCUUGCUGUUCUUGCAAGCUUAUGGAAUGAAUUAUCAUGUCUAUUUGAAGUUGUUAUAAUGCAAUACAUUAUUUGAAGCACAAACAUGAUAAAGAGUGCCUUUUAAAACUACUACUAGUUACAACUUUUAAAAAAAAAAAAAAAAAAAAAAAAUCUAACAUGUAGUUUAAACAUUUACUGUAUUUAUUUUUAUAAAUUGUUGGUUAGUUUAAUGGUCAAUUAUAAAACAUAAAAAUUCUAUAUAUAAUGUUUUCUUAUUCAAUAUGUGCAAAUCUAUUAUUGUAGUUCACCAAGUUCGAUGUCAACACAGUCAUUGACUUUCAAAGAAUAGAAUAUAAGAGGAUGGAAUGUUGUAGCCCACAGCAGGCAAUGGAUUCUCCAGGCCAUUCAGAUGUUUGAACAACUGUGGCCCCACAACUGUACAGAAUGAAGCACCCAUGCCUUGCAAACUACGCCUCCUCAACCCAAUAAUGCCCACAUAUUUUUAGCCUCAUCCCCCUGGCAUUAGCAGAGCUGGUGUGCAGUGUGGAACACAUAUUUCCAACAUUGCAAUCUAUGCAAAUUUGAACAACCUUGAAAGCUUCCACACAAACAUCUAGACAUGGUCAAUGUCAUUUAGUGUGAGGAAGAAAAUUAUUCACACAUCAAAUUACAGGUGCUGCAACUGUAAUUUGAUGUAGGUAUUAUUCCACUAACUUCAUAGAGCCCCCACAUUCACUACAAUCAUGUGAUUCCCUGUUUGCUGGACCAAAUUAUAUUCAUUGUAUAUCCACAAAACUUCAGCCCAAAAUCUUUCCAGAGAAAUUUGUAGCCAGGAGGUAGACUUGGUUGCACCAAUUUCCCAUCAAGGAACAAGGUCGCCACCAAGAGGCCCCCUGAUCUGAGCAAAAUUCUCCCAAUCUUUGUUGUAUAACUCAAGAGCUCUUCUCUUGCAGCUCCACAUAUACUGCUUGGUGUCUAUGAUCAAGUCAACAACAGGAACCAUAGUAUACUAUGUGUCUUAUUUUUCUCUUGCACCCCCCCCCUAUUAUAAAUAGAGAUCAACACUGAAUCUUCAGGUGCACCUGGUAGUGAAAUUUCUGUAGACGAAAGUGGAUCUUGAUUUUUACCCCUGUUGGGUCUCAUCAUAUUGUUGCAACUGAUGAGGCAGGGGAAGAUAAUUUGGAACACACACACAUUGGGACUGGGGAGUAUUUAUUGUCUGAAAAUAAUCCAGCCCAGUCACUGGCUACAGAAAGGUGGGGUUUGUCUGGGUGUGGGAAGGAGAAGAAGAAGAAGAAAGUGAAGAAAGUGAAGGAAGUGGAGGAGGGGGAGGAGGAUGUGGGUGGUGGGGGAGGCUUUGCCCUGAUGGUGUGCUCCAUAGUUGACCCACAAUUGCAAUGACAGAGCGACCAAGAUAUGGAUGCUAGCCUACUCUACAUGACUUGGAAUUGGAUGGAAAGAAGAAAGAAAGGAAGGAAAGAUGGAUGGAUAGAGGGAAAGGAUCAUUACAUAGAUAGGUGGAUAGAUAGAAAGAAAAGUGAGAUAGAUAGAAGGGAGAAAGGAAGGAAGGAAGGAAGGAAGGAAAUGGGCAGGAAGAAAGAAAAGAGCAGGAGGAUCUGCACAAUCUCAAUCUCAUGUGAUCCUCUCUCUCUCUUGCUUGCUUCCCCAGGAUCUGCUAUCCCUUAACUACUGUACCCACCAACUAUAUUAUUCCUCCCUCUUCACCCCUUUUAAUAGUUACUCCUUGUUGUGUUAACCCCCUCAGAUUUCGAUAUUAAUACUCUCCCCACAUAUAUUCUCUCCCCACAUUCCUUCCCAAACCCCUGCUUGCUUGCUUUAGUCAAGGGCCUCCAAGCCUGCCUCUUCCCUAAGCAGCAGGUGUACAUUAAAACUGCCCAGUGGCUAUUUCUAUUGUGUUGAUUACUAAGUCUGAAACUUCAUCUCCCCAAGCCCCUUGCUUGUGCCUUGUUUAGCUUCAUCUAAUUAUAAAUAGUUGUUAGCUUGUAAUAGAUAGAGUGUUGCGGAUGGCACUUGGGAUCCCAAGUGCUGUCCAGUCCUAUUGCACAUCCCCAAAACACUGGAGUUUGCCUCUGAUUCCCACAUUUCAUUAAGGUCCAAGAUCCACUUUGGUAGAAGGUUCCCAUUUAUGCCAACAUUUUGUAUAUGUGGGUGGUCAAACACUAAUAGAUUUGAUAUCACCAUCCAAAUUGAAGUUCUGUGUUGUGAUAUUAUACCACUUGAAAAGUUUGAUUUAUUCAGUAGUUCUUAUUAAAUUUUAUUUUUACUAAAGUCAAUACAAUUUUUACUAAAUGUAUUAUUAUGUUUUUUCUUUAAGAGAACACUAGGUGGACUCUCCCUUAUGCCACACCAAUAACAUACCAUUGCUAUAAUGAAUUGGAUACUAAUGAGGCUAAAAGACAUAAAAACAACAAUGCACAACACAUGAGCAUCAACGAUAUAAGAGCUGUAAAAAAUAAAAAUAAAGAGUGUUGUCCAUGUAGAGGUUUUGCUAGGUGGAUACCUCCUCUUUUAUUGUUUGUUUUGUUUCAUUUGAUCAUUUUUGUUCUUACUUUUGAUAUUGUUGUUGUUUUUGUACCUUUCAAAUUUAUUAGUGUCCAAUUUGUUAAGUUUUUGUUGAAAUGGCAUGAUGUUGGUAUUGCACAGGAAGUGUCCAUGUAAUAAAAGAGCAAAGUCCACCCAAUAAUUCAAUUCAUUUAUUUAAAAAUCUAUACAUUGAAGAAGGCCAUAAAAAUAUAAGCACAUGUAUAAACAAACAUAUUUAUAGUCACAAAUUGUAUAUAUAUAUAAUAUUACUCUUUACAAAAGUUAUUCAUGUGCCAAAAAAAUAAAAUAAAUAAUGUUCAUUGAAAAGUAUAUGAUUUAAAGAGGUAUAACUAGUUUUAAAAACCCUUCUUAAGUUUUAAAAAACGACAUAAUCUUUUAUCAAAAAGAUUGAAGAAAAUCAAUUAUAAAACAAAAACAAAAUUAAAUACAUCUAUGAUGCUUUUUGAAGCUAUUAUUGAAAGAACAUAGACAUUUAUUAAUAUUAAAUAAAUACAAUAGUAACUUUAAAUCAGAAAAAUAAAAUAUUAAAUUAUUUAAUAACAUAUAAAAAAAUUAAAUCUAUUCUAUGACCUAAGAUAAAAAAAUAUGAAUAUUUAAAUUAUAUUUAAUAUUGUGAUUUUAAAUUGAAUUAAUGAAAUAAAAUAUUAUAAUUUAUAAAAUUAAUUAUUAAAAAUUAAAAUUAUAUAUAUUUUGAAAUACUUAUAUUUAUAAAAUUUUAUAUCAUAUAUUUAUUUAAAUAAAUUUAUAUUAUAUUAUUAAUUAUUAAAAAUUAAUUAUUAUAUUAAUAUAUAGGUUUUUAAAAAAGAAAAAGCUUAAUAUGAGAUAAAAUUAAGAACUUUUAUAAAAAAUAAGAAAAAAUAUAUAAUAACCUCAUAGAUAGAUUGAAAAUAAAUAAAUAAAUAAAUAUAUAUAUAUAUAUAUAUAUAUAUAAAGAGAGAGAGAGGAAAAGAGAGAAAAAUUAAACUUAAUAUAAAUAAAUAGAGUGUAGAAUAAUCUAAAAAACAUAAUAGAUAAACGUAUGUGGUGUAUGCCUUGCUAAAGUGUGCUUGGUUAGCAAAGGUUAAUAGAUUCUUACCUAGGCAGUUCCCUGACCUACAGCAAAAAUAAAUUGCAAAGAAUCAUAAUAUGGAGCCUGGUUAAGUUUUGUCGCAUGGUUAUCACAAGUGCAUCAGGUUAAGUGUAAACUCUUUCAUCAAAGGCAGCUUAGAAGGCUUUAAUGUCCAACUAAAUUCUAGGUGCAAACAACCCUCCAGGAGAAAUUGCAAGGAGUAUGAAAAAUCACUUUAAAAUUUUUAUCAAGCUUUUUUAGUAUAAAAAUUAUUAAAAAAUCAAAUGAUAUUAAUUAAAUUUAUCAUAAAUUUAAAAUGAGUAUAAAUUAUCAUAUGUAUGUUUUAUCAAUUAAUUAUCAAAUAUAUGUCUUAAGAUACUUAUUAAUAAAAAUAUUCACCUAAAAAAAAGGUCUCACUCUUGCUACUAUAUAUAUUAUCUACUACUAAAGAAUCAUAUGUUAAUGUCUUAUAUCCAUAUGACAUGUGUCCAAUUUGCAAGACACAUGUCUAAUUUGUAGGACAAAUUUUUGACACAUGCUCCACAUAGCAAACUUGUAAUGCAAGUGAUUAAAUAUGCAACAUUUAGUUGACUUUGAUAUAUUUUUUUUUACAUGAAGGCCAUUGAUAGGUCCUUUUAUCCAUUAAUAAUUUUUUAUUUCACAAUAAGAAGUCUAUCCGUUUAUUUGAUCAUUUUUGAGGUCAUCAUAACUAUCUUCAAAAAAAAUAUUUUUUAUUGCAUUAAAUAUAGUAUCUACCUCUAAUAAUAUUACUAAGCAUCAAAAGUUUCUUCUAAAAUUGUGGUAUCAAAUACAUUGUAUCUUAUUAUACAUUCAAUGAAAAACAUGUUUCUUAUAAGGACCUUCAUCAAAAUUGUGACAUUGUUUAGAUCAAGACAAUCCAAGUGCUUCAUUUAAUAAUUUUGCAAAUAACAACUUUUGAAAUAAAUUUAUUGCAUGUUGAUUUUUUAUGUUUGCAAAAGAAUUCUACAAGUUGAUUCUUGAAUUUUUUUUUUCAUUAAUUUAUGCCAUUUUAUUCUUAAUGAUUAUUCCUUUGUUUUGAUAUAUGUUUUUGAUAAAAAAAAUAAAGAAAAUUUUAAUACAUUUACUAGAUUCUCACAUGGCUCUUAUAUGUGUUUACUAAAAUCAUAGAAUACAAGAUGAAUCAUCAUUGAUAGUAAUAAAAAAAAAAAAAAAAAAUAUAUAGGCUUAACCUUUCAUAAUCCAACCUAUCACAAGAUCAAUUGGUCUUCAUAUUAUAAUAAAAUAAUUAUAUUUUAUCACCAAAUUUGAAUGUAAAUUAUUUUAAUCUAAAAAUAUGUACAUUAUUAUUUUAAAAAUUAAUUAUUUUUAAUUAUUUCUUCAUUGUUGUAUAAAUUUCUUUUAUUUUACUUGCCAAAUCUUUUAUUUUAAGAUUAUUAAUUAUUAAAAAAUUAAAAAUACCAAAUUAUUAAUGAUAUUUAUUAUUGACAAAAAAAUAAAGUUUAUUAAGUAGAAGAAUGUGCAAUAUUAUCAUAUGAAAACUCUACUAAUAGUAGAAAAUUAUCCUAUUAUCUUGGCGAUAUUUAAUGCUGUAUCUCAAAUAUUGUUCUAAUACUUGAUUCAUAUAUUUUGUUUGUCUGUCAAUUUGUGGAUAAAAAACUAAAGAUAACUUAAUAUCAAUUAAUAAUAUGUCAAAGAAUGUUAUCUAAAAGCUUGAUAUGAAUUGAAGUCCAUGAUCAAAUAUAAUGUCAUAUAAAAGUCUACAAUAUUAAUAAAUACUACCUAAAAAGAGUUAAAUUGUUUCUUUAAUGAUAAAUGUUUUUAAAUAUGGUACAAUAUAUGUAAUUUUGGUAAAUUAAUCUACUAUUACAAAGAUAGACUGAUAAGAAUUUAAAAUUAGAAGAUCUAUGAUAAAAUCCAUUAAUACAAAUUAUUAAGAUUAUAUUAAAAUAGAUAGGAGUUAAAGAAGUCUAUAAGAAUAAUGAUAUCAAGUAUUUGUUUUAGAAUAAUUUUUACAUGAUUUAAUAAAUAAUUCUACUUUUUAUUACAAAUUUUUGCCACUAGAAAUCUUUUGAAAUGAAUUCCAACAUUUUAUUAUAUCAAAAGUGGCAUAUUGAUGAAAAGUCAUAUCAUACUUGUAAUGCAUGUAAUCAUGAAUUAUCUUAGAGAAUAUACAAAUGUCUUUUAUUAUAAAGCAAGUUCUUUUUUAACUCAAAUUUGUUAGAGUCAUUUCAAAUAUUAUUUCUAUUAUCAAGAAUAUGAAGGUUUAUUAACGUAAUUGAAUAAAUCUCAUAAAAAAAUAGUAUGAAAUUAGAAUUAUUGAUUUAAUGGACCAAAAAAAUAAUUUCUUUGAUUUCAAAAUAAUAAUUUGUUGUUAAUGAUAUGUUACAUCUCUUUCUUUUAAUGCAAGACAAGAACAUAUAAACAAAGUAUUUGACAAGUCUUAUGUUUUUCUAAGACAAUAUAUAAUAUUAAAUGCAAAUUGAGACAAAGACAUGCUUUAAUAAGCUUGAUAAUGCUUCAAUUCAUAUGUUAAUAUGAAAUACUUAAGAUUCAUAUAACAAAUAUAAAUUGUAAUAGGAUAAGAAGCACCUUCUAGGUAGUUAUGGUAUUCUUCAAAUGAAUCUACAAUAGCAAGAAUGUUUUUGUCAUAGAUCUCAUAAUUAAUCUUUGUUGUUGAAAAUAUUUUUAAAAAUAUAAAAAAUAAUAAAUAAUGGAGCUUAUCACUUAUAUCCAUUUUUGAUAAAAUUACACCUAAUACAAAGU
rnacentral:lncRNA from 1 species